UAGGGAAUCUUCCGCAAUGGACGCAAGUCUGACGGAGCAACGCCGCGUGAGUGAAGAAGGAUUUCGGUUCGUAAAACUCUGUUGUUAGAGAAGAACAGCGCAUAGAGUAACUGUUAUGCGUGUGACGGUAUCUAACCAGAAAGCCACGGCUAACUACGUGCCAGCAGCCGCGGUAAUACGUAGGUGGCAAGCGUUGUCCGGAAUUAUUGGGCGUAAAGAGCUUGUAGGCGGUUCGUCGCGUCUGGUGUGAAAGCCCAUCGCUUAACGGUGGGUUUGCGCCGGGUACGGGCGGGCUAGAGUGCAGUAGGGGAGACUGGAAUUCUCGGUGUAACGGUGGAAUGUGUAGAUAUCGGGAAGAACACCAAUGGCGAAGGCAGGUCUCUGGGCUGUUACUGACGCUGAGAAGCGAAAGCGUGGGGAGCGAACAGG
rnacentral:rRNA from 1 species